UGCAGCCUACGGGAGGCAGCAGUGAGGAAUAUUGGUCAAUGGGAGGAAUCCUGAACCAGCCAUGCCGCGUGCAGGACGACGGCUCUACGAGUUGUAAACUGCUUUUGUACCGGGGUAAAAUGCUCUACGAGUAGGGUUUUGAAAGUACGGUACGAAUAAGGAUCGGCUAACUCCGUGCCAGCAGCCGCGGUAAUACGGAGGAUGCGAGCGUUAUCCGGAUUUAUUGGGUUUAAAGGGUGCGCAGGCGGUCUGUUAAGUCAGCGGUCAAAGCCCGGGGCUCAACCCCGGCCCGCCGUUGAAACUGG
rnacentral:rRNA from 1 species